CCUACGGGAGGCAGCAGUGAGGAAUAUUGGUCAAUGGCCGGGAGGCUGAACCAGCCAAGUCGCGUGAGGGAUGACGGCCCUACGGGUUGUAAACCUCUUUUGUCAGGGAGUAAGGUGCAGCUCGGGACCCUUUUUGUGAGUACUUGAUGAAAAAGGAUCGGCUAACUCCGUGCCAGCAGCCGCGGUAAUACGGAGGAUGCGAGCGUUAUCCGGAUUUAUUGGGUUUAAAGGGAGCGCAGAUGGGUUGAUAAGUCAGUGGUGAAAGUUUGGGGCUCAACCGUAAACUGGCAUUUGAUACUUGCAGCCUUGAGUACAGUUGAGGUAGGCGGAAUUCGUGGUGUAGCGGUGAAAUGCUUAGAUAUCACGAAGAACUCCGAUUGCGAAGGCAGCCUACUA
rnacentral:rRNA from 1 species